rnacentral:rRNA from 1 species
CCUACGGAGGCAGCAGUGGGGAAUAUUGGACAAUGGGCGCAAGCCUGAUCCAGCAAUGCCGCGUGAGUGAUGAAGGCCCUAGGGUUGUAAAGCUCUUUUACCAGGGAUGAUAAUGACAGUACCUGGAGAAUAAGCUCCGGCUAACUCCGUGCCAGCAGCCGCGGU